GGACUACCGGGGUAUCUAAUCCUGUUUGCUCCCCACGCUUUCGCGCCUCAGCGUCAGUUAUGGUCCAGAAAGCCGCCUUCGCCACUGGUGUUCCUCCCGAUCUCUACGCAUUUCACCGCUACACCGGGAAUUCCGCUUUCCUCUCCCACACUCAAGCACAACAGUUUCCAAAGCAAUUCCCACCUUGAAAGCAGGACUUCCACUCCAGACUUAUUAUGCCGCCUACGCGCCCUUUACGCCCAGUCAUUCCGGACAACGCUCGCCCCCUACGUAUUACCGCGGCGGCUGGCAC
rnacentral:rRNA from 1 species